rnacentral:lncRNA from 10 species
GUGCUUAGCCUUAUAAAAAAGGUUGUAAAAUGUACAUUUAUAUUUUAUCUUUUUUUUUUUUUUUUUUCUGAGACGCAGUCUGGCUCUCUGUCGCCCAGGCUGGAGUGCAGUGGCUCGAUCUCGGCUCACUGCAAGCUCCGCCUCCCGGGUUCACGCCAUUCUCCUGCCUCAGCCUCCCGAGUAGCUGGGACUACAGGCGCCCGCCACCACGCCCGGCUAAUUUUUUGUAUUUUUAGUAGAGACGGGGUUUCACCGUGUUAGCCAGGAUGGUGUCGAUCUCCUGACCUCGUGAUCCACCCGCCUCGGCCUCCCAAAGUGCUGGGAUUACAGGCUUGAGCCACCGCGCCCGGCUAUAUUUUAUCUUUUAUCUUUUUCUUUGACAUUUACCAAUCACCAAGCAUGCACCAAACACUGCUUUAGGCACUGGGGACACAAAGGGGACAGAGCCAUCCUCCUUUGACACCUGGUCUUCAGUUCUGUGCCCAACGUAUAUAGUUUUGACAAUGACCAGGUUGGACUGUUUAAUUUAGAGGAGGAAUGAAAACAAAGUGAAGUACACUUAGAAAAGGGCCAAGUGGACAUCUUGGAUGUCAAGUGCCUAGUUCAGUAUCUUUUUUUUUUUUUUUUUUUUUUUUGAGACAGUGCCUCACUCUGUCACCCAGGCUGGAGUGUAGUGGCAUGAUCUGGGCUCACUGCAACCUCCUCCUCCUGGAUUCAAGCAAUUCUCUUGCUUCAGCCUCCCAAGUAGCUGAGACUACAAGCACCCACCAUCACACCCAGCUAAUUUUGUAUUUUUCAGUAGAGACGGGGUUUCGCCACAUUGGCCGUGUUGGUCUUGAACUCCUGGCCUCAAGCGAUCCGCCUACCUCUCAGUUGCAUUAAACUGAAAGGCAAGACAAUCCGUGCUGUUACCCAAGCUGGACAAUGAGACACCUUCUUCCCCCGUCACUCUGUCAUGCAAAUUUAAAUAGCACCUUUUGAUACUGCCUACAGGUUGCCUAUAGCAAUCACUCAGUUGAUUCCAACACAUGUAUUCUCACUUGUCUUCCUUCCUCUUCUAGAUUCUGGAUAUUAGUCCCUUGUCAGAUGUAUGGAUUGUGAAGAUUUUCUCCCACUCUGUGUGUUGUCUGUUUACUCUGUUGACUGUUCCUUUUGCUGUGCAAAAGCUCUUUUUUGACCCAAUAUUCAUUCAGGAGCAGGUUAUUUAAUUUCCAUGUAUUUGCAUGGUUUUGAAGGUUCCUUUUGGAGUCGAUUUCCAGUUUUAUUCCACUGUGGUGUGAGAGAGUGCUUGAUAUAAUUUCAACGAUUGGGUUAACUUGAAGACCUUGUCUUUGAGCUCUGAAUUUCUUUCCUCUACUUGUUCAGUUCUAUUGGUGAGACUUUCCAGAGCAUUUCGCAUUUCUAAAAGUGUGUCUCCCUGAUUUAACUUAAUAACUGACCUCCUCAAUUCUUUUUCAGGUAAAUCAGGUAUUUCUUCUUGGUUUGGAUGCAUUGGUGGUGAACUAGUGUGAUUCUGGGGGGGCACGGGGUCUUGAUGAGCUUUGUUUUGUCAUAUUGCCUUCCUGUGGAUGUGGCUUCUUGUGAGCUGAACUACAGUGAUUGUUGUCUCUCUUCUGGGUCUAGCCACCCAGCGAGUCUAACUGGCUCCGGGCUGGUACUGGGGUUGUCUGUACAGAUUCCUGUGAUGUUAACCUAUGGGUUAAUCUACAGACUCUCCUGGGGCAGGUCUUGCUGUGGCUGCUGUGGGGAAUGGGGGUGAGAUUCCCAGGUCACUGGAAUUGCGUAAAUAGUAGGAUUAUGGUUCCCUCUGCUGAGUCAUGCAGGGGUCAGGGAAGUGCGGGAAAGCUGGCACUCACAGGCCUCACCCAGCUCCCAUGCAAACUGAAGGGCUGGUCUCACUCCCACUGUGCCCUCCACAAUAGCCCUGCAUCUGUUUCCA